GCCUGGGUAGCCAAGCGGCGACGGCGGCAGCCUGGAGAGCUGCUCUCCCUUUGGGAGGCAUGAGUUCGAAUCUCAUCCCAGGCGCCA
rnacentral:tRNA from 1 species